UGGGGAAUUUUGGACAAUGGGCGAAAGCCUGAUCCAGCAAUGCCGCGUGUGUGAAGAAGGCCUUCGGGUUGUAAAGCACUUUUGUCCGGAAAGAAAUCCUUGGCUCUAAUACAGUCGGGGGAUGACGGUACCGGAAGAAUAAGCACCGGCUAACUACGUGCCAGCAGCCGCGGUAAUACGUAGGGUGCAAGCGUUAAUCGGAAUUACUGGGCGUAAAGCGUGCGCAGGCGGUUUGCUAAGACCGAUGUGAAAUCCCCGGGCUCAACCUGGGAACUGCAUUGGUGACUGGCAGGCUAGAGUAUGGCAGAGGGGGGUAGAAUUCCACGUGUAGCAGUGAAAUGCGUAGAGAUGUGGAGGAAUACCGAUGGCGAAGGCAGCCCCCUGGGCCAAUACUGACGCUCAUGCACGAAAGCGUGGGGAGCAAACAGGAUUAGAUACCCUGGUAGUCCACGCCCUAAACGAUGUCAACUAGUUGUGGGAUUCAUUCCUUAGUAACGUAGCUAACGCGUGAAGUUGACCGCCUGGGGAGUACGGUCGCAAGAUUAAAACUCAAAUGAAUUGACGGGGUCAUAGCUG
rnacentral:rRNA from 1 species